GCUGGCGGCAGGCCUAACACAUGCAAGUCGAGCGGAAACGAGUUAUCUGAACCUUCGGGGAACGAUAACGGCGUCGAGCGGCGGACGGGUGAGUAAUGCCUAGGAAAUUGCCCUGAUGUGGGGGAUAACCAUUGGAAACGAUGGCUAAUACCGCAUGAUGCCUACGGGCCAAAGAGGGGGACCUUCGGGCCUCUCGCGUCAGGAUAUGCCUAGGUGGGAUUAGCUAGUUGGUGAGGUAAGGGCUCACCAAGGCGACGAUCCCUAGCUGGUCUGAGAGGAUGAUCAGCCACACUGGAACUGAACACGGUCCAGACUCCUACGGGAGGCAUCUUGGGGAAUAUUGCACAAUGGGCGCAAGCCUGAUGCAGCCAUGGCGGGGGUGUGA
rnacentral:rRNA from 2 species